AUGUCUCUUCUUAGUAAUAGAAGUUCGGCCACGGGCCCUUCAAAAAAAAAACAGAGUACACAAAGCAAAGAACAGGCAAAAAAUUAACCGAAGCAAACAAGACUGAAACUGAAGAAAGGACCUUUCCCUGACCACUUUGAGCCGAAUUUUUUCAAUUUUUGUGAAUUUUUGUUAAAUUUCCAUUGGUUCGUGUAGUCCACUUUGAGCACCAGAGCGGAGGCUAAAACAGCUAAAAGCAAGACUAAACUAGAACUGGAACCUUUACUUGGACAUACCACAAUACGCUUUCUACUUUGAGCGCCAUGACGAUGCUGCAUAAACUAUGACUGACUACUCCCUCUGUAAAGAAAAUAUAAGAGCGUUUAGAUCACUAAAGUAGUGCUCCCGAGUGGAAUGGCAAAAGGCUGACCCAUGAAAUCUCUUCCAGCAAGCCGGCACUGAGCAACCUGGAGAGCUUUCUUGAUCAGGGGAACAAUGUGAGCAGAGAACUGCAGAUGUGUGCCAUAGAAAUCUUGACAGAACUGGGUUUUGAUUCUUCGGCCAACCUCUGCACAGGAAUAAAAGAAAAUCUAAUAAAGAAGCAGUUGCAGAUAUUCCUUACUGAUGAUGAAGAGGGAGAAGAAAAGCUUAGAAAUACGGCUGGGAAAUCGCUGGCAUUACUUUCCAAGAUAAAAACUAUCUCUAUGUUCAUGAGACUCUAUGUUCAUAGUGAUGGAACAGAAUGACAUUCUUGAUCGUCUCAAUGAGAUACUUGAUGCUAAGAACAACAUCACCUACAGGACAGUAGCAUUGGAGAUCUUGGAGAACUUGUGCAGUCACUGUACAUUGGACAAGGAUUAUGUGAAGGAAGCCUUGCUCCCAAAUGUUAGCUUACAGAUUCAUUCAUCUAGUAAUUACAUAAAAAAAAUAGCCGGCACGACAAUAGUUUUGGUUAUACUUUUUUAGCAGUAUCAUCUGGGCAGUGAUUGUAUUUCCACAAGUUACAUUAUUGUUGCAGGUUCUCACGGAAGUACUGGCCAGUAAACGAGACCUCGCCAUAAAACAAAGAACAAAUUCUGCACAGGAUGAAUUGCUGUGUCUUGCAAGAGUGACCGAGGCAGUAAAGGCAAUUGUCGCAACCAAAAAACAUGAAGAAAACCAGGCAAUUUCUGGACCGGGUGAUGAUGAAGAAAAGCAACUGCCGUCCAAACACAGUGGCAAAAUCAAGUCACGUAAUCAGACAAAUAAGGAAUUCCGAGAAGCAUUGUUAUCGGCUUAUCGCUUACCUUGGUGAUGUGUGUCAGUGCAAAUGAUUUCAACGAUGUGGUCUAGAGAUUUCCUUCCAAGAGGGUGAAUUUGUGCGGAACCUCAAGGCUAUAGUCGAACAAAGUUGUGAGGCCAGAGCUGAUUGUCUAAGAAUCGUGAAGCUUUGCAGCCAGAUUGCGAUAUUAAUGCUGCAUCGUGGCCAUGUCGCGGACUUGGAGGAAUGCGUGAAGUCCUUGUGUAAGGACUCAAAGAUCAUGUCUAACCUCGAAAGUUGCAUGCUCUUUGCUGGGACUGAUUGCAGUGUGAAGAAGACUGCUAGGCCUCUCCUCUCCGACAUUGCCAAAAAAGCGCGCCAGUUGGUUGGUAAUUAGAAUGUAACUGCUUUCUAUCUUUGUGCUGUACUAUGUAUCAGGAACGAAAAUCAUGCCCCGGCCUACUAUAUUUAUCACAUUUUCAUUACAAAGAAACUAGUUAUCAACCCGUGCAUUUGCACAGGCUAGUCAUUUUUUAAACAGUUAAUGAUCAAACCAUUAAUAGCAUUUAUGCAUAAAGAAUAUUUACUGAUUGAUGUUUUUUAUAAAUUAAGAAAUUGAUGUUACUACUGAAAGUUGCAUUCUUAGAUGUGUUGUAGUUGCAAAAUACUUCCUCUGUAAACUAAUAUAACAUGUUAGGUUAAAAUGUCUUAUAUUAGUUUACAGAGGGAGUAGCAUAAAAACACUAAUGAAGAUUUAUACCAUAUCUCGGUUGCUAUGUGAAUCCAGUGUAUUGCAAGAGCCUUACCUCUAGUCAUGAAUGGCAGCAGUAUCAUAAGCUUCUUUUCAGUUUACAGUUACCUAGAAAUUCACUACGCAACAGCCAACAGGAGAAUCACCUUGCUAAGAAAAUUACCAGAUUAUUCCAAAUGCAUAAGGAUGGUUCUUCAUUUGCUCCUCAUCUGAAGAAUGUAUCAAACAUAAUCAAAUGUCGACAGCAAAGAAUCAGACAUUAAUCAAUACGAACAGAGCUAAAAGCACAGCUAUAAUACACCUAAUAUCUAGUAGUCUAUAUACAACCCGAUGAUUUUGCAAUGUUCAAAGGAUUUUGCAAUUUGAAAAGUUAGAAUGAUGAUCUUCAAUUGAAAGAUCCACAGAAAGAUUUUCACAAAAAGGCAAUUAUAUAUCAUAACAAAAAAAUUGAAGGGCAAAUCUCUGGCAAAGGAGUCCCUCCAGAUUAAUCUUUAAGUAAAACAAUAUUAAAUAGGAGCUCCUAACUCUAAAGCACGCCACCUAACUGCAAAUUUCUUAACAAAAAUCAUACUAAAAUACUGACAACAAUAGAGCAUUAUAUAUGUCGGCAAUGCGGACAACAAAGGCAAGUUAACAAUACACUACAACAAAAAAUAAUACUGUGUGAGUAAAUGAUAAGGCAUUAUUAAUGCAACAAGGAAUAGCAUUAAAUCUACGUAGACAAUUUAGCAAAGCUAAAGUACUUUCCUAGAUUCAUUCUUCUACACGGGAUCAAAUUUCGCAUGGAACAUCCACCUUUCACUGAGAUAAUAACAAAAUAACUAUACAAGAAAAGAAGAUGCCGUAUAACUUACAGCAGAUCCCCUUUCCGCCCUUCACAUUUGCUGAGAAGCCUCCUUUUCUCAGCACAUUGACUCGCCAGUAUGCCGUCCGCUACUGCUGCACCGAGCUGUCUCUGUUUAGGGGCAGAGAGAGGUGAGAGUGAGGCCGUCAGAUAGGGAGGUGAAAGACUGAAAGUGUGACGGCGCACUGACUCCUGAUCUAUCGGGCCCUCCUAUCGUUAAUCUUGCGAUGAGAGCCUGAAGGCUGGUCGGUCAACGCAUGGGCUGUAGGUACGCGGAGCACAAGUGACCAAAUUUGACGNNNN
rnacentral:lncRNA from 1 species